rnacentral:tRNA from 1 species
GCGCUGCGCGGAUCGUGGCAGAUCACCCGGCUGAAGGCGUGGCGGAUCAGCGGACGGGAGACGGCGUUCAGCGCCGCCGCCAGCGCC